GAUCCGUAUGGCCGCGGAGGAUGGCCCCGUCGACGGCCGAUUGGCCAAAGUCGGCGGGAAAUACGGUCAGCGCCGUCUCCAGAGCGCGCACGUGCCCGGCCUCGACGACCGCCUUCCAUGGCAAAAAGUUGGGCGGAAUGCGCCUGUGCUCUUUGAGAAAAAGCAACACGUCGCCGCGGCCGCGCGCGAUGGCCUGCUCGGGAGACGUGCGCAGCCACCAAUAGGCCUUGCGCCGCUGGACCUCGGACGCGGCGUGCUCUAGGCGAAAGACGCGGUGCGUCCGACGCGCCAUCCAAAAGGAGCGGUUGUCGAGGUGAGCGAGAAUAAGGAAAGCGACCUCGGGCGGUAUGCGCUCAAAGACAUCAUCUUGUUUGCCGUGCAUCAUGCUGUCAUUCAGCGCUGACGUGGGUUUGUUGUCACAAGAGGCCUUUUUGCAGGUGCGUAAUCCCCAGUUGGAGCGCCCCAUUCCUUUGAUCGGACGGGUUAGCGAAGAGGAGGCUCUUGCCGAUGCCGGCCAAUCGUAUGGAUGCACGCAUGGGGAUGGACAGUUGCAGCCGCCAAACUCAAAGAAACUGCCAAAAUAAAUUCACACAAAGCCAAAGGGAGGCCGCAAAAUUGUCGCGGCCCAUUGUAUCGUCUGCUCAACAAUUGCAAACACACAAACACAGACAUAAACCACGAGUGUUGUCGG
rnacentral:lncRNA from 1 species